CAGAACCCUGUUCUGGUAUCGAAUUAAAAAACAUAAGCCACUCCAUUGACGUCCACACUGAAUACUGUUGCUGGUCGACAAGACUAGCGGUAUUCACAGACUUCUGAGAACAAUGGUUACAGUACGUAACCUUCAGUGUGCUCAGCCCUUGAGCGAGGCUUCACAACUGUAUAACCCAAGAGCAGGGUUCGGCAAACUCAAAGAGCCAUUUCGACCCGGUUUCCACAGGAAAGACAGCACUGGGAGCUGCAAACACUUUUGACAUCUCAUAUGUUAGCACAUACACAUAUUGUUUAUUUUGCAUCAGUUUGACAACAGCACAAUAAAUCCUCGGGAUUUUAAUGUCUUGAAAAUAUUUGUUUAAGAAUUUCAGUUUUAUAAGAAUUUCAAGUCCAUUCAGAGUAGUGGAAACCCUGGCCAUUGUGUAGUGAAAAACCUCCCUGAACCAAAGCAAACAGAUGCUUUUGUUUGCUUUUGUUCAGGGAUUCCUCCAUGUUUGUUGUUGUUUCAUUUUGUUUCAUUUCAUUUCAAACACGCAGGGAGAGGGAAAAAAAACGAGAACAGACAACAGUUGUAAAUAUACAACCCUGAGAAAACCGGGACAACAGAAAAUAUCACUCGGAUCUAAAACUCACAAGGCUAUAAUCAAACUAAGGAUGCUCGGUACAAGUAAAAACACACACUCACACCGAGGAAAAUAAAUACCAUGCAGGCAGAACUAAAAUAGCGAGCACACAAACACUCAAACACACUAUCACGGAGCAAGAGGAUAAGAGCAGACGGGAGGAGCGAGAGUAAAACCACGGAGCAAGAGAUAGAGCAAGGAGCGAAAACAGGGAGAAUAAACAAGGGACAAGCUUUCAGCUGCAUUUGCCAUUAAGAUGGAACACAACAGAUAAAAACAGGAAGCACGGAACCGGGAACACUGGGAGUAACAAAUUAAAAGCACGGACGGGACACGAAAGAAAACACAGCUCGGGUUUGGAAAUCCACCUCCUGUGUAUCUCUGUGCGUCCGUUCACUCAUGAGAAAGACUACCAAGAAACCAACAAGUGACAUCCAAGAAAUGUAUUCCCUGACAGAGGAGUCUAAUACAUGAGCAGAAUUCUGUGUCAGCAACUACGCCUGACUUAGCCUUAGCAGUCGUCCGGUAGAGCGACAAAAAACUAUCUGAGGUCUUGACCCCUUUAUACACCAAAGUUCUCCACGUGGACUCCGUCCUCAUCCGAUUGGUCCUCCGCUGUUGAUGCCAUGCCAAGGAUCACAAGACACGCUCCCCUCCUUUGGACCCAGGUGGUUCUUAUCUGCACCAGCUCCAUCCAGCCCUGGAGAAGACGGUACUUUCCAGCCUCCACCGUCUGACCUUGGACCUGUCUGCUCAUGCCACCAGUGUCUGCUUCACUCCCGCCAUUGUACUCCACCUGUAGCUUCUCUCUUUCUCACGCACACUCAACCAUCCUCUUCUCAUUCAGCAUUCACACACUUCCUUCAUUUGCAGCACAAGCAAUUCCAACAAUAUUAAUAUUGUAUAAUAAAUGCACAAUUCCCAUCGCCACCUGAGUCUGAAACUUUUGAAAACAUCUGGAGUAGACACUUUCAUAAAUGCAUUCAAUGAAUUCAAAGCAUUCACAUUUUUCAGUUGUCCUUUUGACAUAAUAGUUGCUGCAUUCUGCAAAGUUUGUCUAUAUUGUGCCUCUGAAAAGGCACAGUCCAACCGUGUUUCAAAGUUCAAAAUGUGUUCAUUUAAUAAAUGAAAUGUAAUUUCAUUUAUUAAAUGAACACAUUUUGAACUCCACAUCACAGAGUGGAAGUUAGGUGUCUUUCAAAUGAAUUUAAAGGCUGAACAUAACUUAUCCAUCGUGGAAAAAAAAAACAUACCGUGAUAAAUACAAUGGAAAAAAAGAGCAGCAUUUCACUGAACAAUGAAAAUAAACAUUGCAAAAUAACUGCCUGAAAAUUAAUUUCACCUGGUUAAUGGGACCUCUGCUCCUGAACCACUGCGCACAGCGUCUGCAAAUCAGGGCUGUAGGAAGCCAUUUUCGUCUGCAAGCUGCUGCCUGUGCGGCCCAGCAACAGUUAGAUCGCCACAUUAUUUAUUGAAGUAAAUCUGUCUGCCGUUUAACUCAGAUGUUUAUCAGCCUAAUAAAGGCGAAAUCAUGUGACUUUUCAAACACCCGCACACAUAGCGAGUCCCGGACCACUGCGCUGCACUCCUGUUCCCCAGCACCAGCCUCCUGCAGCUGAGGGUGCACACUUCAGUGUUCUGGGAGUUUGCAAAGUUGCAGACAGCGAUCAGACCCUUUACUGCCUGGCAUUUAUCAUGUUUAUCUGGAGUCAUGCUGUACACCUUGUUUCUGGCAUCUGGUGGCCUGAAGCAAGUAGGCGGUCAAAACCCGACUCGCUUGCGUUCACAUGUCGGACUUUAGAGCCCAACGCACAAGACAGAGUGUGCAGUGUGAAAAGCCCCUGAUUUUCCCUAGCCACGCAGAGCAACAACAUUAGCAUGAAAGAUCCGCGGGUUGCCAGCCCCUGCCCAAGAGCGAAGCAAGGGGAGAAAUGUACCCUCAGCUAGCAGCCACUGGCCAUGUAAGCAUGCCUCCGCACCUAGCGACGACACCGCCCCCUGCGGACCGAACCAGCAGCACACAAACUCCUAACAGAGAAACACUCUAGGCAUAGGAGAAGGUGGGAGACAACAGGUUUAGUCCCAAGCUCUUGCUCCGAGCGACUGUGAUGGCAAAAGUCAUAGAAUUUAUUUCGGGCCCUUUGAGGGUCCCACAGGGCUUCGGCUAUGCACGCUAAGUGAGGACGAACACCGGGGUUAAAUCACGGAACACAUGCUCUGAAGCCGGACACCUAGAUCUACCACAGCAAUGGGGGGUACAGCAAGAUGCUUGGUGAACACAGAAUAAGGCUCCUAACUAAACCUGAAAAAGAACACAGUUGCGACACCAAGACAGACAAUGUACUGGAAAAUGAUAACAGAGAUAACAUAUAUAAAAGCGCUUGCAUUGCAUUUACCAUGUGCAGCAAGUUUUAAAAUAAAUAAUUCUUCCUUGUACUCUUCUGUUCUUACUUGGUGGUAAUUCUGAUUCUUCCAUGCUUACUCCUAUGAUUUUUCUCUGAAUGAUUCCUCUUGCAACACAAUUCAGGAUGUGUUGCAUGAUUUGAAAUUGUAAAAAAAAAAACAGAGAAUACGGGGAAAGUUGACAGGUAUGGAUAGGGCCUGCAACGGAACCAUUGAAAAUGCAGGCACAAUGAGACACUGGAUCCUGCUGCUACAGCGGUGUCCUUGGCCUGUAUGCGACAAAACAAAACAGGGAGAGUUGACCACGUGCUGUCCAUGACUCCCUCGUAAGAAGGUGGCAGAUGGGAAGCCAACCCGGGUUGCCUGCGACCACUGAACCAUCAUUUAUUCUAGACGAGACUCUUUAUGCUCUGCCAUUUUGUUUGUAUUAAACCUUGUCACCGUCAGUUUACUAUCUACUGCUUCUGAGUUUCCUGUCUCUGACAAAUUCAAAUAACAUUUCUCAUCUACAAAGUCAGAACGUACAGUAGGCCUCAUGGUUCAUUGCUGCUGAUGCCGAAGGUACUGUUUAACUUGAAAAAUGUUUGACUAAAAUAUUAAUAAUGCAUGAUUAAGUGGCUGUGACCUGGAAUGGAACUCUGAACGGUCCAUAUUUAUUAUAUCCACUAACGCUGACUGCUGAAGGCCGCCUUCAUGUCCACCUCACUGUCAGCCGGUUGAGUGUGUGCACUGACUGCCAGACAAGGAGCUGGCUUUUUGGUUUCGAGACUUCUAGUCAAGACCUUCACACACUUUGAGUUUUCAUUACCAACUUUUCUUGAUGUGACAUGCAAAUGUAUGCAUCGCUAAACACAAUUGUUAUUUAAAAACAACCUGUAAAAAGUCAAAGUUUUGGUUCCUGUAACCAUCAGUUUCAUUGAUUAUUUAGGAGGGGACAUUGUUUAUUCUGUCCACGGUCAAGAGCCUUUAUCAAAGGUGUUUGUCAACUGCUGCUGGGAAGUCAUGUGAAUGCGCUUGUGUGAGUUCACAGGGAGGAGGACUGAUGGAAUCGCCACGGAAGAUAAAAACCCAGAUGCACCAGAGGAGGACAGAUUCCAUGACAGCAGCUGGACAUCACAGCAGGAUGGGUGGAAGUGGACUGUGGCUGCUGGUGCCUGUGGCCUUCGCCUGCUUCUCUUCUCUGGCAGAGGCAGCUCCUUUGUUCCUGAUGUCAGCUCCCAGCAUCCUGCGAGUGGGCGGGCCUGAAAAUAUCUUUGUGGAGUGUCAGGACUGCUCUGGUGGCGAAAUCGGGGUCAAUGUCUACAUGAAGAGUUAUCCAACAAAGGCCUCCACUCACGCUGAGUUGACGGUGAACCUGAAUGCAGCAAACCAUUUUCAAGGAUUCGCACAAGUCACGAUCCCUGCCAAGGGCUUCAGCAAGAAUCCCAAUGCAACUCAGUUCGUGUACCUUCAGGCCCAGUUUCCUGACCGACUAUUGCAGAGAGUGGUCAUGGUCACUUUCCAGGCAGGCUAUUUGUUUAUACAGACUGACAAGACCCUCUACACACCCAACACCAAAGUCUACUACAGGGUGUUUGGCUUGACGCCCCAAAUGGAAACAAUAGGAACAAUUGCCUACGUGGACAUUGAGAUAAUGACACCUGAAGGACAUAUUGUGCACGAUGAUCAACUUGCUCUGAAUUCGGGGUUACUGAAUGGUGAAUAUCAACUGGGUGAAUUAGUCAGCCUUGGAGUGUGGAAAGUUGUCACCCGGUUCCAGGACAGCCCACAGAAAAAGUACUUUGCAGAGUUUGAGGUCAAAGAAUACGUGCUCCCCAGUUUUGAGGUUCAACUGAAGAGUCAGCGACCGUUUUAUUUUGUAAACGAUCCUCAGCUUACUAUCGACAUCCGAGCCACGUAUCUGUUUGGAAAAGAAGUGGAGGGCGUCGCAUAUGUGAUAUUUGAGAUCGACACAAAGGACCGGAGGAUCGGUUUGCCAGGUUCACUGCAGAGAGUUCAAAUCGAGAAAGGCAAAGGCACAGUGACUCUGAAGAGAGAGCACAUCACCCAAACGUUCCCGAACAUUCAACAGCUGGAGGGAAAAUCUAUCGUUGUUGCUGUCAGGGUGCUGACAUCGACGGGCAGUGACAUGGUGGAACAGGAAUUGAAGGGGAUUCUAAUCGUGUCAUCACCGUACACCAUCAACUUCAGAAGAACGCCCAAAUACUUCAAACCAUCACUGUCUAUGGAUGUUUGGGUUGAAGUCCUCAACCCGGAUGGCAGCCCUGCGGGGAACAUUCCUGUAACAGUGAAUCCUGGCCAGCGUCUGGCUGUUACCGAUGACGAGGGCAUUGCCAAGGUUCCAAUUGAUACCGCUUCAGAUGACACAAGACUGAGGAUCAGUGCAGCAACAAACGACCCCAACAUUCAGGGCCACCAAGCGACAGCUACCAUGGAAGCAACAGCCUAUCAGUCCAACGGCCGCAACUAUAUCAGCAUUUCGGUGAACACAGAUGCCAAGUUGAAACUGGGAGACAACAUGAAAGUCACUUUGAACAUGAACAUGCAGAACAACAAAGACAACAUCGACAUCACAGUCCUGCUCAUGAGCAAGGGACGGCUGGUGCGCUUCAUCCGCAAAAAGAAGCAAGGCAUCAUGAGAAACCUCAUCAUUCCCAUCACCAAAGAGCUGGUGCCAUCCUUCCGAAUCAUAGCUUACUACCACGCCGCUGAAAAUGAGCUGGUGUCUGACUCCGUUUGGGUGGAUGUUCAUGACACCUGCACAGGGACGCUGAAGCUGGAAUUGGUUGGUGGCCCUCAAACAUUCAAACCCAGUAGAUUGUUCAGUCUGAAGGUCACCGGAGAUCCAGGAGCAGCUGUGGGACUGGUGGCCGUGGACAAAGGAGACUACGUUCUUAACAACAAACACCGGCUCACACAACAAAAGAUUUGGGACCUGGUGGAGAAGCAUGACACUGGCUGUACCCCUGGUGGAGGGAGGGAUGCCAUGAAUGUCUUCUAUGAUGCAGGACUUCUUCUUGAGUCCAACACUGCGUCUGGAACCCAGCACAGGAAAGAGUUCAAGUGUCCAACGCCCAGCAGGAGAAAACGAUGGCUUGACGCUGAUGACGACAGCUACAUAGACAGUAAUGACAUUAGGUCUCGCUCCAAGUUCCCUGAGAGCUGGCUGUGGACAUACAUCCAUCUUCCAGCAUGCGCCCCAGGAGAGCACUAUUGUGAAACAAAGUCUAUUGAGGAAGAUUUUCCACUUCAGGAUUCAAUCACAACCUGGCAGGUGACCGGCAUCAGUCUGUCCAAAAGCAACGGAAUAUGUGUCGGUGAUCCACUGGAGGUGAUCGUGGAGAAGUCAUUUUUUGUUGAACUCAAAUUGCCUUAUUCAGCUGUCAUUGGGGAGCAAAUCGAAAUCAAAGCAAUCCUCCAUAACUACCGGGCCGACGACGCUACGGUGCGAGUGGAUCUUAUAGAGAAGCCGCAUGUGUGCAGUUCAGCAUCCAAACGCGGGAAAUACAGGCAGGAAGUGAUAGUUGGACCACAAUCCACCAGAUCUGUCCCAUAUGUCAUCAUUCCCAUGAAGGAAGGAGAGCACCAGAUCGAGGUCAAAGCUGCUGUGAGAGACACUGAGCUCACAGACGGUAUCCUAAAGCUGCUUCGUGUGGUGUCCAGAGGCGUCCUGGUAAAAUCUCCUCUGAUAGUGCAUCUUGAUCCUGCCAAAGAAGGUGUCGAUGGCAAGCAGACGAUAUCUCUCAACAGUGGAAUCCCCAAGAAAGACAUCGUCCCAAAUUCACCCACCAACACAUAUAUCUCAGUGACAGGCAGAGAGGAUUUAAGUGUCGUGUUGGAAAAUGCAAUUCGAGGAACCGCAAUGGAGCGAAUGAUCUACCCACCAUCAGGCUGUGGAGAGCAGAACAUGAUCCGCAUGACUCUGCCUGUCAUUGCGACCUUGUACCUGGACAGAACUAACCAGUGGGAAGAUGUUGGCUUGACCAAACGUGAUGAAGCAUUGCAACACAUCAAAACAGGAUACUCAAGGCAACUAACGUAUCGUAAAAAUGACGGCUCCUUUGCUGUGUGGGCAAACAGACCAAGCAGCAGUUGGUUGACUGCUUACGUAGUCAAGGUGUUUGCCAUGGCAAAGAGGCUGAUUCCACUGCAAGACAGUGACAUUUGUGAUGCUGUCAAGUAUCUGAUCCUCAGAACUCAACAGGCCAAUGGAUUGUUUAGAGAAAAUGGAAGGGUGUAUCGCCAAGAAAUGAUUGGAGAUGUGAAGGGCGGAGAUUCAGAUGCCUCCAUGACAGCGUUCGUCCUCAUUGCGUUGCAGGAGUCUCACACACAUUGUAAUGCAUCCAUUGGGAGUCUACCAAGAGCUAUAGAAAAAGCAGUCACCUACCUGGAGGGGUGCUUGCCUUCCCUCACUAACCCUUAUGCAGUUGCCAUGACGUCAUAUGCUUUGGCCAAUGAAGGAAAACUGCAGAAGGAUGUGCUCUUCAGGUUUGCCGCUGCAGACCGAACCCACUGGCCUGUUCCAAAGGGGCGUGUCUACUCUCUCGAGGCCACUGCUUAUGCUCUUCUGGCCCUGGUGAAGGUCAAGGCUUUUGAAGAAGCCAAACCUAUCGUGAGAUGGUUCAGCAAACAGAAGAAGGUGGGCGGAGGCUUCGGAUCCACUCAGGCGACUAUCAUUGUCUAUCAGGCCGUGUCGGAAUACUGGGCCGAUGCAAGAGAGCCACAGUAUGAUCUGAAGGUGGACCUCUUGCUGCCAGGAUGGUCCUUACCUGUAGUGUUCAAUUUUAACAGAAGAAAGAAUAAUAUCACGAGAACAACCAAGUUCAACGAGAUCAACAAAAACGUGGAUGUGGUCGCGACUGGCACAGGAGAAGCCACUCUGACGAUGGUGUCGCUGUAUUACGCCAUACCAAAAGAAAAAGAAAGUGACUGUGGGAAGUUUAAUUUGUCGGUGCAGCUGAUCCCAGACACUGUUGAAUACGGUGAAGAAAUUUUCAGGCUGAGGCUUGAUGUUUUGUACAAACAUCCAGAUUUGGAUGCAACCAUGACAAUUUUGGACAUCGGCCUGCUGACUGGCUUCGUCCCCGAAACAAAGGACCUGGACGCGUUGGUCAGAGGAAAGGCUGCAGUUAUUUCAAAGUACGAGAUGAACAAAGGCCUGUCGGAGAGAGGUUCUCUCAUCAUUUACCUGGACAAGGUUUCUCACUCACGUCCAGAAGAGAUCACAUUCAGGCUCCGUCGCAUAUUAAGAGUGGCCGUUUUACAACCAGCUGCCGUGUCCGUCUAUGAAUACUACGACCAGACGCCAUGUAUGAAGUUUUACCAUCCGGAAAGAAAAGAUGGAAAGCUGCUCAGGCUCUGUAACAAAGAUGAAUGCAAGUGUGCUGAAGAGAACUGCAGUAUGCAGAAGAAAGGUCCUAUUAACAACAAUCAGCGACUAGCCAAGCUGUGUGAGAGCACAGACACCAUCAAAACAGAUUUUGCAUACAAAGUGUCUGUGGAGUCAUUUUCCGAUGCUUUGUCCAUCGACGUUUACACAAUGAGAAUUAUGGAAGGCAUCAAAGCAGGAAACCUGGACUUGAACAUUGAAGGAACACUGCGCAUGUUCCUCAGUCAACCACACUGCAGGGAGGCUCUCGAUUUACGUCCUGGACAAACCUACCUCAUCAUGGGUUCAUCCAGUGACAUGUACAAAGAUGAUACGAAUGGAACGUACCAGUAUGUGCUGGGGGAGAAGACAUGGAUCGAAUACUGGCCCUCACCCACCGAGUGUCAGGAGGAUCUGCACAGGAGUGCGUGUCUGGGUAUAAGAAAGAUGGUCAACAAAUACCAACUCGUGGGAUGUGAGCUGUAAUGUGUCUUGUCAUGAAUCAAACAAGAACCAUCUUUAAAUGACGUUGCUUCCCUAACGGUGUUGGGUAAAAUAAAUGCCCUUGCAGAUUGUUGUCAUGCUUCUUUUUUCCUUUUUUUGUCUUAAAUACAUCAUCUGAGGCAACAAAACAUCUUUAUAGACAUUAUUUUAUGACUUGUCUGAGCUAAAGAAAAAUGCUCUUCAUUUUUUUGGAUCAAACUUGAUCAUGUGAUUCAAUUAUUUAGAGUAAAAAGUGAUGAGUCUGACAGAUCUAUUGAACAGGAAAUUAAAGAGACCAAAGCCACCAACGAAGGCAUGACAAAUUUAAACUAUGACAUAUUGGGUGUUAGUAAAGACAGACAGACGGUGCGAUCUUCAAAAAGUUCUGGAACGAUUGCGGGGAAUGUUGAACCGUUGGUGCAGGUCACCAGUGGAGUCUGCUGCGGAAACACAAUUGUUGCACUUGUCCAAACCAGAUCGUCCAUCAACACUGCUAAUGGUGCUGAGUCGGCUCAGCUCUCUUUCUGUUGGAUCAAUGCGACCAGACGUUAGCACUAAGGUCAAGUGCGGCGCCAUCCAGACGCACCCAAAGCCUGUGGCGCGAAUACUCAGGUUUUACGGUAGACAGGCAGGGUUUGCUCAGUUAUUUCAUUUCCUCUGAAUAAAUCUUUAAUGCUUGACAGAGAUCAGACUUCAGAUUCAGUAGGCCAUGUACUAUGAUUGAGCAAAGUUCAUGCAUUUUUACAGCAGAAAAAAUGAUUUGUUGUACAGUUACUAUGGUGCACUGCAGCCAUUACAAGUGACAAGCAAAGUAUUUUCAUUUAUUUAUAAUCUUCUUCUUUCUCUUUUGGCUUCUCCCUUCAAGGGUCGCCACAGCAGAUCACCUUCCUCCAUCUCCCCCUGUCCUCUGCUUCCUCUUCUCUCAAACCUACAAACCUCAUGUCCUCCUUCACCACCUCCAUCAACCUCCUCUUUGACCUUCCUCUCCACCUUCUGCCUGGCUGUUCCAACCUCAACACCUUCCUACCAAUGUACUGGCUCUCUCUCCUCUGUACAUGUCCAAACCAUCUCCAUCGAGCUUCUCUGACUUUGACUUUGGUUUCCUGAAAGUAUCACUUUCAUUUUGAUGUUAGUUUUUGGGGGGUUGUUUAUUCUGUCGACGGUCAAGAGCCUUUAUCAAAGGUGUUUCUCAACUGCUGCUGGGAAGUCAUGUGAAUGCGCUUGUGUGAGUUCACAGGGAGGAGGACUGAUGGAAUCGCCACGGAAGAUAAAAACCUAGAUGCAGCAGAGGUGGACAGAUUCCAUGACAGCAGCUGAACAUCACAGCAGGAUGGGUGGAAGUGGACUGUGGCUGCUGGUGCCUGUGGCCUUCGCCUGCUUCUCUUCUCUGGCAGAGGCAGCUCCUUUGACGCUGAUGUCAGUUCCCAGCAUAAUGCGAGUGGGCGGGCCUGAAAAUAUCUUUGUGGAGUGUCAGGACUGCUCUGGUGGUGAAAUCAGGGUCAAUAUCUACGUCAAGGAUUUUCCAUCGAGAACCAACAUUCUCGCACAGACCACGGU